AUGGGCUUCCUGCGGGCCACGCGCGCGAGCCUCGCCGCCAGAACGAUGCUUCAUCCUCGAGGUGGUAAUAACCGGACACGACGGCGGCGGCGAGAGGACAGUGACCAUGUCCGGAGGAGGCGCAGCCGGACAUUUAGCCGCUCAUCUUCGCAGCACAGCCACCGGAAAGCCAAGCGUGUAGAGGACCACGCUGAGGGCCGCCUCAUCUACCACGUCGGGGACUGGCUACAAGGGCGAUAUGAAAUCGUUAGCACUUUAGGAAGGGGGACCUUCGGCCGAGUUGUACAAUGUGUUGACCAUCGCAGGGGUGGGACUCGAGUUGCCCUGAAGAUCGUUAAAAAUGUGGAGAAGUGUAAGGAAGCAGCUUGACUUGAGAUCAACGUGCUGGAGAAGAUCAACGAGAAAGACCCUGACAACGAGAACCUCUGUGUCCAGAUGUUUGACUACCAUGGCCACGUGUGCAUCUCCUUUGAGCUUCUGGGCCUUAGCACCUUCGAUUUCCUCAAAGACAACAACUACCUGCCCUACCCCAUCUACCAAGUGUGCCACAUGGCCUUCCAGCUGUGCCAGGCUGUCAAGUUCCUCCAUGAUAACAAGCUGACGCAUACAGACCUCAAACCUGAAAAUAUUCUGUUUGUAAAUUCAGACUAUGAGCUCACCUACAACCUAGAGAAGAAGCGAGAUGAGCGCAGUGUGAAGAGCACAGCUGUCCGGGUGGGAGACUUUGGCAGUGCCACCUUUGACCAUAAGCACCAUAGCACCAUUGUCUCCACUCGCCAUUACCGAGCACCAGAGGUCAUCCUUGAGUUGGGCUGGUCACAGCCUUGUGAUGUGUGGAGUAUAGGCUGCAUCUUCUUUGAGUACUGUGUGCGCUUCACCCUCUUUGUGCGCUUCACCCUCUUCCAGAUCCAUGACAACAGAGGGCAUAUAGCCAUGAUGGAAAGAAUCUUGGGUCCUACCCCUUCCUGGAUGAUCCGAAAGACAAGAAAGCAGAAACAUUUUUACCGGGGUCGCCUGGAUUGAGAUGAGAACACAUCAGCUGGGCACUAUGUUUGUGAGAACUGCAAACCACUGCGGCAGUAUCUGACCUCAGAGGCAGAGGAACACCACCAGCUCUUCAAUCUGAUGGAAAGCAUGCUAGAGUAUGAACCAGCUAAGCGGCUGACCUUGGGUGAAGCCCUUCAGCAUCCUUUCUUUGCCUGCCUUUGGGCUGAGCCACCUAACAAGUUAUGAGACUCCAGUCGGUAUAUCAGUCUGUGA